UACGUAGGGUGCGAGCGUUAAUCGGAAUUACUGGGCGUAAAGUGUGCGCAGGCGGUUGUGCAAGACAGAGGUGAAAUCCCCGGGCUUAACCUGGGAAUGGCCUUUGUGACUGCGCGGCUAGAGUGUGUCAGAGGGGGGUGGAAUUCCACGUGUAGCAGUGAAAUGCGUAGAUAUGUGGAGGAAUACCGAUGGCGAAGGCAGCCCCCUGGGAUAACACUGACGCUCAUGCACGAAAGCGUGGGGAGCAAACAGG
rnacentral:rRNA from 1 species